GCCUCCAUAGCUCAACGGAUAGAGCAAUCCCGUCCUAAGGGAGAGAUAUGGGUUCAAUUCCUGUUGGAGGCA
rnacentral:tRNA from 1 species